CGGAGUGUAGCGCAGCCUGGUAGCGUAACAUCCUGGGGGGGUGGAGGUCGCUGGUUCGAAUCCAGUCACUCCGACCA
rnacentral:tRNA from 1 species